rnacentral:rRNA from 1 species
UUCGCAAUGCCCGAAAGGGUGACGAAGCGACGCCGCGUGUGGGAAGAAGGCCUUCGGGUUGUAAACCGCUGUCGGGAGUUAAGAAAUGCAAGGAUAUUAAUAGUAUCUUUGCUUGACUAAGGCUCCGGAGGAAGCCACGGCUAACUCUGUGCCAGCAGCCGCGGUAAUACAGAGGCGGCAAGCGUUGUUCGGAAUUAUUGGGCGUAAAGAGCACGUAGGCGGCUAUGUAAGUCGGUUGUGAAAGCCUUCCGCUCAACGGGAGAACAGCAUCCGAUACUGCAUAGCUUGAGUGCGGGAGGGGAGAGUGGAACUUCUGGUGGAGCGGUGAAAUGCGUAGAUAUCAGAAGGAACGCCGGCGGCGAAAGCGGCUCUCUGGCCCAUAACUGACGCUGAGUGUGCGAAAGCUAGGGGAGCAAACGGGAUUAGAUACCCCGGUAGUCCUAGCCGUAAACGAUGGGCACUAAGUAGAGGGGUUUU